UACACUCCUGCGGGAGGCAGCAGUGGGGAAUAUUGGACAAUGGGCGCAAGCCUGAUCCAGCCAUGCCGCGUGAGUGAUGAAGGCCCUAGGGUUGUAAAGCUCUUUCACCGGUGAAGAUAAUGACGGUAACCGGAGAAGAAGCCCCGGCUAACUUCGUGCCAGCAGCCGCGGUAAUACGAAGGGGGCUAGCGUUGUUCGGAUUUACUGGGCGUAAAGCGCACGUAGGCGGACUAUUAAGUCAGGGGUGAAAUCCCGGGGCUCAACCCCGGAACUGCCUUUGAUACUGGUAGUCUUGAGUUCGAGAGAGGUGAGUGGAAUUCCGAGUGUAGAGGUGAAAUUCGUAGAUAUUCGGAGGAACACCAGUGGCGAAGGCGGCUCACUGGCUCGAUACUGACGCUGAGGUGCGAAAGCGUGGGGAGCAAACAGGAUUAGAUACCCCAGUAGUCCCAUGA
rnacentral:rRNA from 1 species